rnacentral:lncRNA from 1 species
ACCGGGGCAAGGGGCCUAGGGGGCCUAGGGAGCAGAGGGGCCCGGGAAGCCCGACCAGUCAGGCAGGCUAAAUCGGCAGGGACCCGCCCUCGCCACCCAGGCUCCCUGGCAGUCUCAGGUCGCGCCUGCCCGCCCGGACCCCGCCGCUCGGCGCGCGCACGUCCAGGAGGGCGCCCAGGGGGCGCCGCUUCCCCUUCAGCUCCGCUGGGGGCUGGUCCAGCCCCGCGGAUCGGAGCGGAAAGAGUCGGGCGGAGCACGCGGCGGGGCGGGCGGCUGCUUGACAGCUGUGAGCCGAGCGGGCGCGCGGGCAGGUCCACGGGAAGCGUACACGCUCAAGGUCAUGCCCUGACCACAGCUGCCCUUCAGGAGGCUGGCAUGGAGCCACCCGGGGUCAUUGGGCUGUUUGUCAAGGGUGCGGCAGCAGCGGCUUGCCACUCUUCCUCCAUGAGCCCAGCCAGAGCCUCCACUGGGCACUUAGCACAAGAAAAACCCUGCAGGAACCAGAGUCCAGAGCGUUGGGAUUCAGCAGGUGUGCCAGGAGAAUUCAACACAGGUGUGCUGCCUUUUCUCCUGACAGGCGUGUGGCUGGACACGAGUCUUGCUGAUGGUGGAAUGCAAGUCACCAGUGGCCAAAGUACCCUCCAGGUGUGAAGAGUUGCAGGUCCUCUGAGGAGCCAGGAGCUGCAAGGGUGCUUGCAUCUGCCUUGUCUCCUGCUCCCACUCGAGGGCCUGCCCUGGUCAUGGGGUGUGUAGAAGAGGCACAGGCAUGAAGAACUGGUGACCCCCCUGUGAAACUCUGCCUUUCCCCACCAACCACUAAGACGUUUAAUAAUGGGUCCUGCCCUAUACGUUUAGGGUUGAGGGGAUACGUUCUAAAGUGGUAUCAGCUACUAACACCUGUG